GCCUACGGGAGGCAGCAGUGGGGAAUAUUGCGCAAUGGGGGCAACCCUGAACCAGCCAAGUCGCGUGAGGGAAGACUGCCCUAUGGGUUGUAAACCUCUUUUGUCAGGGAGCAACGCCGGCUACGUGUAGCCGGACUGAGAGUACCUGAAGAAAAAGCAUCGGCUAACUCCGUGCCAGCAGCCGCGGUAAUACGGAGGAUGCGAGCGUUAUCCGGAUUUAUUGGGUUUAAAGGGUGCGUAGGCGGAAUGCCAAGUCAGCGGUAAAAUCGCGGGGCUCAACCUCGCUCCGCCGUUGAAACUGGCGU
rnacentral:rRNA from 1 species